AGAGUUUGAUCCUGGCUCAGAGCGAACGCUGGCGGCAGGCUUAACACAUGCAAGUCGAGCGGACCUUUCGGGGUCAGCGGCGGACGGGUGAGUAACGCGUGGGAACGUGCCUUCCGGUUCGGAAUAACCCUGGGAAACUAGGGCUAAUACCGGAUACGCCCUUAUGGGGAAAGGUUUACUGCCGGAAGAUCGGCCCGCGUCUGAUUAGCUAGUUGGUGGGGUAACGGCCUACCAAGGCGACGAUCAGUAGCUGGUCUGAGAGGAUGAUCAGCCACACUGGGACUGAGACACGGCCCAGACUCCUACGGGAGGCAGCAGUGGGGAAUAUUGGACAAUGGGCGCAAGCCUGAUCCAGCCAUGCCGCGUGAGUGAUGAAGGCCUUAGGGUUGUAAAGCUCUUUUAUCCGGGACGAGAAUGACG
rnacentral:rRNA from 1 species